GGAUUAGGCAUGCAAGUCGGACGGGCCGCAAGGCCAGUGGCGCAAGGGUGAGUAAGGCGACGGCAAUCCACCCCACGGUUGGGUAUAGCCGCGAGAAAUCGCGGGUAAUCCCCAGCGACGCAGGGCGUCGGCAUCGACGCCCUGCCAAAGGCUCGCCGCCGUGGGACGAGCCGUCGUGGUAUUAGGUCGUUGGCGGGGUAACGGCCCACCAAGCCUGCGAUGCCUACCGGGCGUGCGAGCGUGGCCCGGCACACUGGGACUGAGACACUGCCCAGACUCCUACGGGAGGCUGCAGUCGAGAAUCUUCGGCAAUGGGCGCAAGCCUGACCGAGCGACGCCGCGUGGAGGACGAAGGCCCUCGGGUUGUAAACUCCUGUCGAGGGGAAGGAAGGGGCCUCACGGCCCUUGACCGCUCCCUGGAGGAAGCACGGGCUAAGUUCGUGCCAGCAGCCGCGGUAAGACGAACCGUGCGAACGUUAUUCGGAAUCACUGGGCUUAAAGCGCGUGUAGGCGGGUCGGUGCGUCGGCCGCUGAAAUCCCCCGGCUCAACCGGGGAAGGGGCGCCGAUACGACCGGCCUGGAGCGACGUAGGGGGAACUGGAACUUCCGGUGGAGCGGUGAAAUGCGUUGAGAUCGGAAGGAACGCCCGUGGCGAAAGCGAGUUCCUGGACGUCGGCUGACGCUGAGACGCGAAAGCCAGGGGAGCGAACGGGAUUAGAUACCCCGGUAGUCCUGGCCGUAAACGAUGGGCACUAAGUAGAGGGGUUUU
rnacentral:rRNA from 1 species